rnacentral:rRNA from 1 species
UACGUAGGGUGCAAGCGUUGUCCGGAAUUAUUGGGCGUAAAGAGCUCGUAGGCGGUCUGUUGCGUCGGCUGUGAAAACCCGGGGCUCAACUCCGGGCCUGCAGCCGAUACGGGCAGACUAGAGUUCGGCAGGGGAGACUGGAAUUCCUGGUGUAGCGGUGAAAUGCGCAGAUAUCAGGAGGAGCACCGGUGGCGAAGGCGGGUCUCUGGGCCGAUACUGACGCUGAGGAGCGAAAGCGUGGGGAGCGAACAGG